rnacentral:rRNA from 1 species
GACGAACGCUGGCGGCGUGCUUAACACAUGCAAGUCGAACGGAAAGGCCCAGCUUGCUGGGUACUCGCGUGGCGAACGGGUGAGUAACACGUGGGUUAUCUGCCCUCAACUUUGGGAUAAGCAUGGUAAACUGGGUCUAAUACCGGCUAUGAUCAACUGUCGCAUGGUGGUUGGUGGAAAGCUUUUGCGGUUGAGGAUGGGUCCGCGGGCUAUCGGCUUGUUGGUGGGGUAAUGGCCUACGAAGGCGAUGACGGGUAGCCGACCUGGGAGGGGGAUCGGCCACACUGGGACUGAGGGACGGCGCAGACGCCUAUGUGAGGCAGCAGUGGGGAGUAUUACACAGUGAGGGCAAGCCUGAUGCAGCGACGCCGCGUGCGUGAUGAUGUCUUUCUGGUGGUAAACCUCUUUGACCGGGGACGAAGCGGGAGUGACGGUACCUGGAGAAGAAGCACCGGCCAACUACGUG